GAUGAACGCUGGCUGCAUGCUUAACACAUGCAAGUCGGACGGGAAGUGGUGUUUCCAGUGGCGGACGGGAGAGUAACGCGUAAUAACCUGCCCUUGUGUGGGGCACAACAGCUGGAAACGGCUGAUAAUACCCCCUAGCCUGAGGGUCAAAAGGAGGAAUCCGCCUGACGAGGGGCGCGAGUCUGAUUAGCGAGUUAAAGAGCCAAUAGCUUACCAAGUCGAUGAUCAUUAGCUGGUCCGAGAGUAUGAUCAGCCACACUGGGACUGAGACACGGCGCAGACUCCUACGGGAGAGAGCAGUGGGGUAUUGUCCGCAAUGCGCGAAAGCGUGACGGAGCAAUGCCGCGUGGAGAUAGAAGGAAUACGGGUCGUGAACUUCUUUUCCCGGAGAAGAAGCAAUGACGGUAUCUGGGGAAGAAGCAUCGGCUAACUCUGUG
rnacentral:rRNA from 1 species